rnacentral:rRNA from 1 species
GCCUACGGCCAUGCCACCCUGCAGUGCCUGAACCCGUCUGAUCUUGGAAGCUAAGCAGGGUCGGGCCUGGUUAGUGCUAGGAUGGGAGACCACCUAGGAAGACCAGGUGCUGUAGGGA